UCACAGCAAGGUACAAUCAAACUUCUUUAAUUUAUAACGUCGUCGUUUGUUCUGAUAUUGUUUAGCUGCAUGCUAUUGCAAAAUGCUGUUAUAAAUAACAUGAAAUAACGUUAAAAAUCGAUUGUAAAGAAAACUUUGAACAUUCCGAACUGUGAUUUUAAGCCUUUUUUUAAAAGGGUAUUUGGGUCUUUUUCAUCCGUUUUAACCCCUAAUUAUACCAUACCAGAGCUCAUAACUUCAUUAUUUAUCUAUAACACAAAAUUAGGGUUUUCUCAAAGAUCAAUUCCCAAGAACAAGAAACCCUAGGUAUUUAAUUCCAAGUCAAGAAUUCAAGCUUUCCUCCAUCAAUCUUCAAGAAAUCAUCCACCCAGGUAUGUCAAGUGUUGAUUCAUGGGAUCCUUUCACCCAUGAAGCUCAAGAAAUCCUAUUUGAAAUAUAAACUUUGGAUUCCAUGGUAUGUAUUGAAUUAUAUCCAUGUUUAUGUUGUUGUUUGAUUUCCAAGGUGAAGUCUUUAAUGACUAUCAUGAAAAUAUGUUAGUAUGUGGUUGAAAUUCUUGCAUUUGGUAGUGUAAAAUGUUGCCACGAAGUAUUAUUUUAAUAUUUAUGCCUAAGCCUAAAGAUAUGCAUGCAAGGUGUUUGAUAAAAUGCCUAAGAGAAUAGGAAUUAUGCCUUAUGACUUAUUUGUGACCAAAAUUGAUGAAUCCAUAUUUCUCCCUUAUGUUCGAUAUGACUCCCAUGUUAUUGUUAUGCUUUGUAAUGGAUUGACGUAAUACUCAUGAGAUUAGGCUUAUGAAAUUAUGAUAUGUUUACAUGCAUUCCUAUUCAUGUGUAAGCUUAUAGUAUGCGAAUACUUUAUGAAAAUCCCUAAUGAUUGUACUAUGAAUUGUUGACUAUGGUUAUGUGUCAAGAAGGUCAUGUCUUGUCAAUUUCAUGCUAUCGAGUCCUGGGGGUACUUGUACCCAAAAAUUUAGCUGUAUCAUGUUUUCUAGAUACUCUCAGUCAAGCCAUGAUUCAUAGAACUCAGUCAGUCAUGUGACUCUCAGGAAAACUCAGUAAACAAAGUAAUCUCAGAAAUCUCAAUCUCUCUACACUACACACUCUCUCUUUUUCUUUUUAUGAACAAACUAAGAAACUUUAUGAACAAAGACUUUAGAAGACUAUUUUUUUCACUCUUGAUUUUUCUCCUACUUCUCUCUAGCUAUAUGUCUUUAAGUCAUCCAUAAGUGGUAUUUAUAGGCAUUUGUGGACUUCAAAUCCUUACUUCAAUGGGCUUAAUAAAAACUUUGGCAAGUUGAGUGGGCCCACGGUCACAUGACUAUGUUUUCACUUUAACUCCCCUCUGUCCAUUUGUUUCCAUUUGUGAGUAAAUGGACGGAUAACCAGAACAGUAGAAGACAGAAUAUUGGAAUUAAAAGAAAGACCAAAAAGAUUAGAGAUAAGAGUAUACAGUAAAGAGAUAAUCAGAGAAGAAGAUUUAAUAGAGGUAGAAUAUAUAUAUAUAUAUAUAUAUAUAUAUAUAUAUAUCAGUAGUUAUAAAAAAAAUACAUACAUUGAUGUAUUUUGGACAAAGAAGAGCUACUUAUACUUCCUCUGUCCAAUUUAUAUGACUCACUUUCUGUUUUAGUAAGUCUAAAAAAAAAUGACAUAUUUUUACGUUUAGUAACAAUUUGACUUUAAAAUGUCUACUUUACCCUCAAUUGAAAGAAUUUAUAGCCACACAAAUAUCUCAAAAGUUUUUCUUUCUUUCUUAAACUUCGUAACGAGUCAAACUAUCUCACAUAAAUUGGGAUGGAGGAAGUAAUAUUUCUGAACAAUAACUCCCUCUUGAAUAGCAAUUUAUAUUUUACACAUAAUGAGACUCUAUUUAUGAUUCAUAAAGGCUUGUAUAACAUUGUAUAUAACGUAUAUAUUACAUUAGGAGAGAAAAUGCAAAGGUGCACAGCUACAAGCAUAGUUUCUCAGGAUUUGCAGCACGUUUAUCUGAAGCCGAAGCGCAGUCGCUUGCUCAGUACCCCAGAGUUGUUUCUAUUUUCCCUAAUCCAGUAUUUCAACUACACACUACACGAUCAUGGGACUUUCUGAGGGAUCAAUAUGAAUUUGUACGCGAUCUUCCUUACAGUUCUGGUUCGAAUUCAACCUCAUUGAAUGGAGCAGAUACCAUAAUUGGAAUUUUUGACACUGGUAUGCUCUCAUUCACUUGAGCUGAGGAUUGUUCGGAAAUAACCUCUCUACCUCCAAGAGGACGUAAGGCAUGCAUGCGCUCUACCCUCCCGAGACUAUACUUAGUAGGAUUUUACUACCACCACUAAUUAACCAAAAAACAUCUUGUAUAUAUGUUAUAGGAAUAAGGCCUGAAUCAGAGAGUUUUACUGACAAGGGUAUCGGUCCAGUUCCAUCGCGAUGGAAAGGAACUUCCACCAGAGGUUAUGACUUCAAACCUUCCAGCUGCAAAAGGUAACAGUCAUCAUAUACAACCUCGGUGGCAGGUCCAGUGUGUUAGCUACGAGUUCACGGGAACUCAGUAGCUUGAGGUUGUUGUAGGAAUUCAUAAACUUCAAAUCUUGGAUCCGUCUGUGUGUGUCCAAUAUGGUCUAUGUAAAAUUCUGUAAGUGAUCUUCGAAAAAAAAUAAGUUUAUGAUAGAAAUUUUACUAUGUACAUUUCAUAGACAUGUAUCAGGAAACUGAUCGGAGCAAGGUUUUAUGACGAACCUGGCGAAUAUAAUCCACCAUAUGUGGGGACACCUAGGGACCACGACGGGCAUGGUACUCAUGUUACAGCCAUAGCAGCAGGUAGUCCAGUGGCAGAUGCAUCCUAUUAUGGCUUAGCAGGAGGAACAGCCACCGGCGGGUCUCCAGGGUCUAGGAUUGCAGUGUACCGUGUAUGCAAGCCUAAUGCUGGAUGCAGUGGAUCGGCUACUAUGAAAGCAUUUGAUGAUGCUAGAGCAGACGGAGUCGAUAUCAUCAACUAAUCAUUUGGUCAACUAGCUGGAACAGAGUUUGAGUUUUCAAGAAAUCCUAUUGCCAUUGGAGCCUUCUAUGCUGUACAGAAGGGGAUUUUUGUCAAGGAGUUAUGAUCAUUAAAAUUUGGAAAAAAAAUACGCCAGGCCUCAGUACUUUUUCCUGCACGUUUUACUGUUUACUACUAUUCACGGUUCGAUCGGAAUGUUCAUAACUCGUUGCUCGGGCGUCCGUUUUGGAUGAUCCACAUAUCGUUGGAAAGAUUAUUCGAUACUCUAUGCAAUGGUGGGUCAUAAUCUAAGACAUUCUGCACGAAAAAUUUAUAAUUCAUUCUAGAAUAUAGAACCCAACACGUUUACGCACAAAAUUUCAACGAAAAAUUUUCUGGAGUAUUAAAGUAAUCCACCUCCACAUGCUUAGUUCUAGCAUUAAAAACUGGAUUCUCUGCCAAACGUAUUGCUGAUAAGUUAUCACAAUACAAAGGAAUUGGAUACAUCACUUGUUGAUGCAACUCCUUUAACAGUUGCAUAAGCCAACUGCUUUCUUGAGCUGCCAUCACUGCUGCUCGAUACUCUACUUCAGUGGUUGACAGAGAAACUGUUGGUUGUCUUUUGCUACACCAAGAAAUUGCUCCUGACCCAAGCAUGAAAACAUACCUGGUAGUUGAUCGUCGAGUAUCAUGGUCACCUGCAUAGUCAGCAUCACAGUAACCAACUAGUUUACAAUCUUCACCUUUUUUGUACAUAAUACCAUAGCCUAGCAUAUUUUUCACAUAUCUCAGAAUUCCGCGAACUGCUUUCAAGUGAGGUUUCUUCGGAUGUUGCAUGUAUCAACUCAUCAUACCAACUACAAAAAAGAUGUCUAAUCUUGUUAAAGUUAAGUAAAUAAGACUUCCUACCAACUGUCGGUACAUUGUAGCAUCUUCUAAAUCUUUCCCUUUAUGAGCACAUAUUUUAGAGUUUGGCUCUAUUGGCGUCGAGAUUAGCUUACACUUAAGCAUUCCAAACUUCUUUAGCGAAUCUCUGGAAUACUUUUACUGAUGGAGAAAUAUUCCUUCUUGAGAGUAACUGACCUCUAUACUAAGAAAAUGCUUGAGCUGUCCAGGUUCUUUCAUUUGGAAACAAACUGACAAGUUUUCCUUAGUUCAAAAAAUUUCUUCAUAAUCUCCUGUGAUGAUUAAAUCAUCCACAUAUACCAGUACAGUAGCUAUUUUCUCUUCUUUAGCUUUGACGAACAAGCUAGCAUUUGCACUAGUCACCAAAUACCCACUAUGAGUAAGAAAUUUAGCAAUCUUACCAUACCAGGUCCUCGGCGCUUGUUUUAAUCCUUAAAGCGCCUUCCGUAGAUUACACACAUACUCAGGGUAAUCUUGAUUUUGAAAGAAAAUUGUCUGAUCCAUGUAGAUCUCCUGAUCCAUCUCCCCAUGCAAAACUGCAUUCUUCACAUCUAUUUGCCAAAAAUUCUUAUUUUUACAAGCUGCAAGUGCUAAUAGGACUCGUACAAUUGUAAGCUUUGCAACAGAACUAAAAGUUUCAUCAUAAUCUAGUUCAUAUUGUUGAGAAAAUUCAUGAGCCACCAAAUGAGCCUUAUGCCUUUCGAUUGACCCAUCUGCUCGACGUUUUAUCUUGAACACCCAUUUGCAAGAUAUCGGCUUCACAUCACUUGGUUUCGGUAUAAGAUCCUAAGUUUGAUUUUGUUUUAGUCCUGUCAUUUCUUCUUUCAUAGCUUUAUUCCACUUCUGAUCUUGAGAUGCUUCUUCAAACGUCUCAGGCUCAUUUGCACCUUCUUCCUCCACUAUUACGACAUUGGCAUACUUUGGAUUUGGAUUUCUGAAUCUUGUUGAUUUUCUGAACUGAGUUGGUGUUUCCACUCCACUAGGAUCAGCUUGUUCACAUGGUUGUUGAUACACACCAGUUUGCCAGGUACAUUGGGCUACACCUUCUUCGACAUUGUCUUCGUCAUUUGCAUCUUUUGCUUCUCUUAAACCCAAUUGGAUUUGAGAAGAUUGCACCACAUCUUUAAGAACAUCUAAUUCUGGCAGUACUUCCUUGUCUGAUACCACCAUGAAGAAGAUUCAUCGAACACCACAUUCUGGGAUAUGUAACACUUUCUAAUUGUUGAGUCACAACAUCGCCACCCUUUUCUUUGACUAUCAUAUCCUAUAAAAAUACAUCUGACAGCCUUCUUUUUCAUUUUGCUACAUAAAUGAUCAGGUACAAAUACAUAGCAAACACAUCCAAAAACUCGAAAAUAACUAACAUAAGGUUUCAUAUUCCAUAAUUUUUCGAAAGGUGAAAUAAAACAUAACCUUUGUUGAGGAAGCCUGUUGAUCACAAAUGCAGCCGUCCUCAUUGCUUCUGCCCAAAAAUGUCCUGGUAUGUUCUUCGCGUGAAGCAUGCUUCGACAAAUUUUUGUCAGCUGCCUAUUCUUCCUUUCUGCUAUGCCAUUCUAUUGUGGAGUGCUAGCACAUGUGAACUGAUGACGUAUUCGUCUUUCUUGAAGGAAAUCACAAAACUUUUCUGAGGUAUACUCUCCCCCAUUAUCACUGUGUAGACAACAAAUUCUUUUGUCAACUUCCGCUUCUGCUACCUUCUUAAAUUCUUUAAACUUUGAAAAAGUUUUAGAUUUUUCUUUCACAAAGUAAAUCCACACAUACCUUGAGAAGUCAUCAAUACAAGUCACCAUGUACUUCAUCCCACCUAUGGAAGCCUGUUUCACAGGCCCAAACACAUCGGAGUGCACCAACUCCAAUGGUUCUCUUGCUUGAAAGUGGGAUUUUUCAAAAGGCAGUUGAUGUGCUUUUCCAUACUGGCAGCCUGCACAUACUGUGUCUUUACUCACUUCAAGUUGUGGAAGUCCCUUCAACAUCGACCUCUUCAUCAUCACCUCUAAUUUGGAAAAGCUAACGUGACCCAGCCAAAUGUGCCACACAUCUGUUGUUUCAUUCUUUUUCGUCUUGUCUACAUAUGCAGCUUCUGCAGACAUUACAUAAACUGAUUCCAACCUUUGACCUUUCAUCACCGAUUCUUCUAUAAUCUCCAGGUCCCGAUAGAUCUUCACAUCUUAUAGUCCAAAUAAAACAAAAUGGAUAGAAGAUGUUAACUUUGCCACAGAGAGAAGAUUUUUCUUCAUGCCUGGGACAUGGUAAACAUUUUGGAGCGGUACCACGAUAUCACUAUGUUGAGGAGAAACUAUUGUAUUACCAAUGUGAGCUAUCGGUAACUUUGAGUUGUUCGCCGUUAUAACUACCCUGCUGCCCUUAUACUCUGACAGGUGCUGCAGCUUUUCUUUAUCCCCCAUCAUAUGAUUUGAGCAUCCCGAGUCGACAAUCCAAUCCUUCUCGUAAUCAAUUGUCUUUGUCAUUGUAACGAGAAUCAAUUCUUCUUCUUCUACAGCAAAAAAUGCAUCUGCAUCCCACUCUUCUUCACUAUUUGAUGUAGCAGCAUUGCUCUCAAUAGUCUUUUUAUUUGACCAACAAUCUUUCGCCAUAUGACCUCUUUUUCCAUAAUUGUAACACUUCCCUAGAAACUUCUUACCGUCGUCUUGAUUCUGCGAAACUCCUCCUGUACGAACACUCUCUCCACCUUGAUGACUUCUUUCCAUAUCAUUAUUCUUCUUGGAUAUACCAGUGGUAUGCGGUUUGGAAUUCCACCUGCCUCGAUUGGCAUAGAGUGCCUCUUCUUUCUUCUUCAAUGAGACUUCUCCCAUUUGCUUAGCUAAGGCUUCUUGACCAGCUAACAAAUUUUUGAAUUCUACCAGCGACGGUUGAACUUGCCAUUCUUGUAUGGCAGCAAUAAAGCUCCUAAAUUCUGGCUUCAAUCCAUGAAUGAUGAUGCGCUUCACCCUAGUAUCACCAAUAGAAUCCUCCGGAUCCAACUCAGAAAUCUCUCGGCAUAGCGACUUUACUUUAUGAAAGUACUGUGAGAUCCUCAUGUCGCGUUGUGACACUGACAGCAACUCAAACACUAAGAGUUGGAGCUUCGUAUCAUUCUUUUUGGAGAACAGGUUGGCGAACGUAUAUGCUCUAGUACAUCUUCUUCGACUGUGGUCUUCAAGUCAAACAUUGCUUUACCCGUUUGGUUCUCCAUUUCCAUAAGAUACUAUUUGUUUCUUCAGCUUCUGGAGAUGUAACCUCGUUUCCAUUUACUACUUCCCACAAGUCUUGGCCUUGCAAGUACGACAUCAUACAUGUAGACCAAGAAUUGUAGUUUUGGUUGUUGAGUUUCUUGAUUCCACCAACUACUUGAAGAUCACCCAUCCUGACAGCACCUAGAAGAGUCUGGCUUUGAUACCAGAUAUUGAAUAAUAAACAAAACAGCUGACAGAAAAUUUGAUGAAAAAUCAGAGAACUAAUCCUUUAUUGAUGCAAAUAGCCUGUAUAUAUAUGCUUACAAACGUAUAAGCAAGUCAUUUCUUAUUACUAGGACUCAACUUACUCCUAACCAAUAACUAAUAGACCUGCAAUUUGACCAAAACAAAAACACUAAAAAAAAUAACUAACAAUUCAAAGCUUAUCUAAACAAAUUAUUAAUGACUUAAGACAGAGAAAAUAUGGAGAUAAACAAAUAACCAUGUCUUUCAUAUUCUGGUGUUGAUAUCUUCAAUAAGCCAGUCGUGAAAGUUCUGUCUACAGUAUCACCAACCCAAUCAGAGUUAGAGUACACCAUAAUUCGACUAUCAGUCUCACGGGUUAUUUGAAGCCCAAAGGAGGAGGUCUGUUUGAGAUAUCAAAGCAAUCACUUAACAGCUUUCCAAUGAUUAGCAUAAAGACAAUGCAUAAACUAGGAGAGUUUAUUUACUGUAAAAGCGAUGUCAGGUCUGGUAAAGGACAAAUAUUGUAGCUUGACAUCAAUUUUGCAAAAGAUCGAAAGUCAUCAACAAUAGGAUUAGCUUGAUUUACACUAAGAACAGUAGAGACCGACAUAGGAGUGGAAACGCUUUUGCUGUCUUGCAUAUUGGCUUCCUGGAGAAGGUCUUCUACAUACUUUUGUUGAGACAAUAGAAGGCCACCUUGAUACAACAAAACCUCAACACCAAAAAAGUAGUUUAAGUGGUCAAGGUCCUUGAUAGAGAAACUUUGAGCAAGGGAAUUGAUAAUUUGUCAAAUACCAUGUUCUUGAUUUCCAGUAACAAUAAUGUCAUCCACACAUACAAGGAUAUAAACAGUGAAUCUUGAAUGAUGUAAGUUGAACAAGGACGAGUUAGAUUGUGAUUUGAAAAAACCUUGUGUUACAAGAAAGUUCUUAAGCUUGGUGUACCAAGCUCUAGGUGCCUGUUUGUGACCAUAAAUAGCUCUAUGAAGUUUGCAGACAUGAUUGGACAAAGUCGGAUGCUCAAAGCUAGGAGGUUGUCUCAUAUAAACUUAUUCCUCUAAAUGACCCAACAAGAAUGCAUAUAUCAAGUUGAUGCAAACGCCAAUUAUAUUGAACAGAGAUAGCGAGAACUAGGUGAAUAGUUGUAGGCUUGACUACCGGACUGAAGGUGGAAUGGUAGUCAAGUCCAGGCCGUUGAGUAAAGCCUUUGGCCACUAAUCGAGCUUUAUACCUUUCAAUAGAACUAUCAGGAUGAUGCUUAAUGUGAAAUAGCCACUUACAGUCUACUACAUUCUUCGACGGAUCAUUGGGAACCAAAGUCCACGUUUGUUUUCUCAUAAGAGCAUCAAAUUCAGCUUGCAUAGCAGCUUUCCAGUGGGAACCCCACUGAGCUUUCUUGUAGGAAGAGGGAGUUUUUGAACUUGAAAAGUGAGCAAGAAAGUUAGGUUGAUGUUUGGGCUUAAGGAUGUUAUUUUUGGAACAAGUAACCAUCGGGUGACUUGGCAUUGUGGUGGAAGGUGCGACUGAAGUGAUUUGGCUUGGUUGUGUGUUUAGAGGGGGAUGAUAGCCGAUAAAUUUGAAGUAAAAGGAGCUGCAAUGGGGGAAGGUACGGAAGGUUGCAAAUGUAUGGUUUCACUGGAUGAAGGCAAUGACUUAGGAGCUGAAGGUGGAUUCCGUCGUUCAUAAGUUAAAAGGGUGGAUUGUUUGUUUGGAAAUGGGUGGUUUGAUUCGUGGAAGAAGGUGCAGAAAGGUUGAGCGGCUGACUAGAAUUUGAAGAGGAAAUCACAUCUUUAUUAGAUAAGGAAUUCUGAGGAGAGUUGAGGAUUAUACCUGAACCUUGAGAUUGCUCUCUGGUUGUGGCGAUUGGCAUGGGCGAACUUUGUGGGCAAGGUGAACACGCGAUAGCGGGAGGAAGUUCCAUGUUUAACUUUUGAGCUUCACAAAUGAUUUGGUUGUUUUUUUUUUUCAACUGUUUACCAUGAUUUAAUUUGAAAAUUUGAUAAAUGAGAGAAGAUAUUUUGAAAAGGAAAAUUAUUCUAAAAAAAUAGAACAUCUCUGGAUAAAUAUAUUUUUGAAGAGAUUGGAUCAAAGCACUGAUGGCAAUAAUAUUUGUUGGAAAAACCCAGGUAAACACAUGGAGUUGAACGAGGCUGAAGCUUAUUUUUGGUGUAUGGUCGCAACCAAAGAUAACAUAAACACCCAAAAGUUCUUAUGGAAUCAAAUUUUGGGGUAUCUUGAAAAAGUAUUUCAUGAGGACAGUUAUCUUUUAGGGUAGCUGAGGGUAAUCUAUUGAUAAGAUAAACUGCUUGUCAUCUGCUUGAUGACAAACAAAAAUCCAAAAAUUUGAGGGCAGAGAGGCUUGAUGAAUUAACGUUUUGGCUAUUUCAACAACGUGUCUAUGGUGUCGUUUAACUAAAGCUACACGUUGAGGUGUAUACAGAGGUGAAACAAGAUGUUCAAUACCAUGUGUUUUUAAAUAGGGAGAUAAUCCUUCAAAUUCACCACCGCCAUCAGUGUAAAAUAAGAGAAUUUUUGUGUUAAAAGAGACGUUCGAGUAAUGGAUGCAAACUUUUAAAAACAUCUUUUAACUUCACUUUUAUUUUUUAGGGUAUAUACCCACAUAUAUUUUGAAAAGUGAUCAACAAACAGUGCAUAGUAACGGUUUUGGUCAAUUGACAACAUCGGGGAAGGUCCCAAUAAAUCGCUAUAAAUAAUUUGCAACAGACGUUUAGUUUGCAGAGUAUUUUAAGAAAAAAGGUAACCUAUGCAUUUUAUUUGAAUUGCAAGAAUUACAAACUAAAGGAUCUUUUGAAUCACAAAAUGGAAUUGAAAACUUACUUAAUUGCUUAUGUAAACUUUGAAGAUUUGGGUGCCCCAAUCGUCGAUGGCACAAGUCAAUAGAAAGACGACUAACUACUAAACUUGAUUGAGGUUGAAAACUGCGUGUUGUCUCUUGUGGCCACUCAUACAACCCAUGUCUAUUCUUCCCGCACACCAGAGGCGCCCCCGUAGUUAAAUCCUUCACAACAAAAUUAAAUGGAAAAAAUUCAAUAGAUAUUUUGUUAUCGUGACCAAAUCUAGAGACAGAGAGAAGAUUUAUUUUAAUGGCUAGGGCACAAAGGGUAUCAUUCAAUUUGAAGCUUUUAUUUGAUUCACAUAAGCGAGUGUUACCAGUGUGCGAAAUUGGAAUGGUAUUACUAUUUCCCAUUGAGAUCUAGACGGGUCAGUUGUAGUCCUGAGAAGUGGCUAAACUGUAAGCAUCUGAUGUGAUGUGAUGGUUAGCCACAGAGUCAACAAUCCAUGGAUCUUAUUGUUGUGGAAACUGGGCAGCAUAAUUAGCACGAGCCUGAAAGUGGUUGUGAGAGUUAGAUCUACAUACUUUGGCAGAGUGACCGAGGCGAUCACAGAGUUGACAGCGAAGAAAACUGUCAUUAUUUUAGGGUUACUGAAUUCGAUGAGAGCGUCAUUGUUGGGUAUUUGAUGAGUCUCGGGCUGGGAAUGCCAUGGCUGGCUACCUUGUGAGGUAUUACCUCCUUGCUUUCGAUUGUUGUUGUUUCUUGAAGGAGCUUGGGUGUUUCAUUGAGCAAGUGAUGGUGGUGUCCGUUUGGCUUCUUCUUGCUUAAGAAAGAUCUCAUGAUCAAGAAGUUUCUCAUAUAGUUCUUCAUAGGUGAUCAUUGUUUCAUGUGACCGGAUGGCUGCAGAAAUAGCGUUGUAUUCGGAACCAAGGCCUUGGAGGAUUCGCACAGUAAGUUGUACAUCAGCGAUUGGCGCUCCACCGAUUGCAAGUUCAUCAGCAAUGGAAGGUAUGUCACAUAGAUAGUCAGUUGGAUCAGGAGUGCUUUCAUUAUUUUCUUUAAGUGUGGGCAGAGAAGCAGCGACUGUGCCAUCAAGGUGACCGAAAAGGUUGUGUCCGUGCAUGAGCAUUGACACCUAUGCCUUCCAGGUAGUGAAGUUGUGGUUGCCUGCAAGUUUGAUGGGUAAUUGAAAUGCAGGAUUAAACUACAAGAUUGUAGUGCUGCUGGCAGUGUUAUCUGCAUUAACAACAGUGACUUUGGUGGCCCUUUCUUUUUUGCGUGAGGCAGUAGUUAGGGUUGAGUAAAAAAAAAAUUGGGAUCGUACUCAUGUGAGCUUUAGAGCACUGAUACCAUAAAGCAACUACUGCUGAACAGAGAAUGAGAAGAUCGAUGGCUUAUUCAUCAGUUAUUGGAGAAUAUAUAGGCUCCAAUACAACACUGAGUCCUAAAGUAAUACAACAGCUAAUUACACUCCUAAAGUGAUACAAUAACUAAUUACAGUUGUACAAGUAGAUAGGUAAUGAUAUAAUUACAAAUUAUUCUCGUAUAUCUCUUUUACCAGCAAGGUAAUUGGAAAUUGAAAUGUAUCAGUUUCUAUUUUUGCCUACUUUCAACUAACUUGGGCAAUGUUUUAGUCACUGUGAAUCAGAUACAUUAGACGAACGCAAAGUCAAGGGAAAAAUUAUUGUUUGUGACCAUCUCGAUUAUGAGUUUUCAUUAGAAACAAGGCUAAAUGAAGUGAAGAAAAAGGGUGGCAUCAGAUUUAUAUUAAGUAUGCCCGAUGAUGAGCUCAUAACGGCAACCAAAAUGGGAUCAUUUUCGGGGGCAGUAAUCACUCAAGGAGACGGCGUAAAGAUUCGCUUACAUGAAAUCAACAAGGUACUCCCUUUACUUCACAAUAAGCACUAGUGGGGCAGCAUACGAAAUUGCUAAAUUGCAACUUCAAAUAUUCUAUAGGAACCCGGUGGCGACAAUUCUACCACUGUUGUUAUAGAUAAAUUCAAACCGGCUCCUGUUAUGGCUUUCUUCUCAUCAAGAGGCCCUACGUAUAAUACUCAGAACCUCCUAAAAGUAAGUACUCCUUGUUCUAAUUUAAUUCUUUCCGUCAAAUUUUGAACCAUUGCUCAAUCUAUGCCCACUGCACAGUACCAUAAUAAUUUUCUUUCUAACUUCAAAUUUCAUUGGUCUCACGAUUAGUUACGUACUUAUGGUAUAUAAAACAAAACAUAUGUUUCAUGCAAGAUUAACAGUAAAUUACAUACCGAAUGGUUUCUGACAUGUACUUGCAGCCGGACAUUGCAGCACCAGGGACUGCAAUACUUGCAGCUUGGCGCACAAAUGACACAGAAUUGACUCGGUCUGGCCAAAAACCACCGCUAUUUAAUAUAGACUCACGUACAUCCAUGGCUUGUCCUCAUGUUUCUGCAAUCGUUGCAACACUGAAGUCUCAGAAUCCCUCCUGGAGUCCAUCAGCAAUCAGAUCAGCUAUAAUGACCACAGGUAGUAACCUGAUGUUAGUUUAUCAGUGCCACCAAUUUAUGGCUCCGACAAAAAACGAGACUCAUUCCCCCGUUUCUGUUUAUUAGCUUUUCAGCAAAGCAAUUUGAAGAGUCUAAUGCUCGAUAGUUUAUAAUGGGGAAUACCUUGCCACGCCAUAUGACUUUGGGGCAGGAGUAGCAACUAUGUCUGGACCACUGAAACCAGGUUUGGUUUAUGAGACCGAGAUCACAGACUACCUGCAAUUCCUCUGCUCUACAGGCUAUAACACGUCAAAAAUAAAACUAGUCUUAAAGACUGUUCCAAACAACUUUUCAUGCCCCGCCAACUUGAGUUUUGAGUCGGUGUCAAACAUGAACUACCCAUCGAUAGCCAUUUCUCUGUCCAAGGUAAGAGAAACCAAGAAAGUUACCAGAAUGCUAACUAGAAUUGGUGACGAAGGAUCAGUAUACACGGCAACUAUAACAACACCAGAUGCAUUGAGAGUGCGUCCAGACAAAUUGAAAUUUACAAGUAAGACGAAGAAACUGAGCUAUCAAGUGAGUUUCAAAGCAAUGACUAGAGAGAGACAAUUUUUUGGAUCAAUUACAUGGUCCAAUGGUAAGAACAAGGUUAGAAGUUCAUUUGUUGCCUCCUUUUGGUAACAUUUUGAUGAAUCUGCUACUUAUCCGGUCUAAGAGAAAAGGUGCAUGCAACACAGUGUAUCCAUGAAUGUAGUAUCACCAAUUUAUCAUUUGUAAUAACUCAUAUGAUUCCUGAAUAAAGGGUUCUCAACAACGAGACCAUAUUUAUUUCGUGAUAUUCUUGUUUUAUGAAUAUCACGAAAUAAAUAUGACCAUAUUCUUGUUUUAUGAAACAGUCUCUAGCAGAAAUGCAAGGUAAGGCUGUGUACGAUACACCCUUGUGAUGGGGCCCUUCUCCGGACACCGCGCAUAGCGGUAGCUUUAGUGCACCGGGCUGCCCUUUGUUUUUUUAUAUUUAUGGUUAACACGUGCAGCCAUAGCGUGAAAACUGUCAUAGUUCAAUAGAGCUAUUGAACUCCAACUAUAGGUGCGCACACAUGAUUUUCUUUCCGUUAACAUACGGUAUGGAAUGAACUGAAAUGUGCGGCGUGAAGUUGUUCAAAGAACACACACAUUUUUUGUAUUAAGUUAAAGGCCAUAAUACAUAGAUAUACUGUAUAUCAUAUACACUUCAACUUUGAUAUGAGUACGACCUCGUAGAUGGACAUAUUUUGAGCAUGUCAAAGACAACCGAGAGAAGGCCCGAACUUAAGUGUUAAUGAAGUCCAAAACCACCCUAUGUAUGCACUCCAUGGGCAGCCCAUUGGAGCAUUUUAAUUAAAAGGGCACUUUUGUCAUUUAUGUCUUAUUUUGGGUUUUUGAGACUUGGUUGAUCAUUGUCAAGACUUGAAACAUUGUAACAUUUUAGCCUCUCUCUUUAGAAGCCCCAACCGAAACUAGGCUAGACAAGUGAAGAUUCACUUGUGUUUGCUUAUUGGCUUGAAACGUUGGUGUUUAGAGAAGGUAAAGGCCCUCUUGUGUCAACGUAGAUUUAGGUUUGUGUCGUGGGUAGUGUUAAGGGUCCAAGAGUGUAACAAUUCUUGGGUUCUUAAGAUUGUCUCUUCAUUUGGUCUAACUAUUUAUCUUGUAUCUUGAUGUAUCUGUUGGUUCCUUUUUUGUUGUUAAUGUACUCGUGACUUUCUUGUUGUUGUAAUCUUGUUGUUUAUGUGUUGAUAUAGUGAAGCCGUGUAGGGCUCUUUCGAUUCACUAUAGUCAUUGUAAUCUUGUGUUCUCUAUUUAUCUUGUUGAAUAUUGUGGUUGUUGUCUUGAAAACAUAGAAAAGCCGAGUGGGGCCUUUGAUUCUCUAGUGUUAUUGUCUUGUAGAUCUCUUGAUUUCCUUGUCUGUGUUUGAUCUUGUAUCAAACUUGGUUUCCACUGGCAAUUGAACACCCAAACUUUCAUUAUGACCAUCUAGACACUUCAACUCGACACAGGUGCAUCAUUGAACUUGUGUCGAUCAGCAGUGUGCUGGCAUUGUCCAUUAUUGUACAUAAUACACGUAGGACUCUACGUAGGAUGUAAGUUUGCCACGUAGGACGCAUGUGUCUGCUUGUUCAACUUUAUACAAGUUUAAGUACCUACUUGUGCAUACCCAGAGUUGGAAAGGCAUACAUGCCAACUGAAGUCAAGUUAAAGGGCUCGUUUGGACUCUUUGUUAAAUAGACUUUUUAAGUCUAUUUUUUAAUUAAAUGGUCCAAAAGUUUUUUUAUUUAGGGAGAUAACUCAUUUUUUAGACAAAUUUAUUAUCUGUCCGAUGGAUCAAUCCGACAGAUCUAUCAUCUGUCCGAGAGAUAUAUAGACAGAUCGAUUAUCAAUCUGACAGAUCUAUUACCUGUCUGACAGUCUGUCCACAAAUGAGAAAAUAAAAUUAGGCCAUUUUGCUAAUUGAAAACUUGAAGAGAACGGACCAUUUUGCUAAUUGAAAACUUGAAGAGGCUUAAUUGCUAAAUUUUCUCGGCUCGUUUUAUGUAUUACUCCUAUGUCAUAAUAUUAGGUCAAAAUUUUGAAGCAUGUGCAAUCUGAAUGUGGGUACAACAUAAUAGGAUUUCGACUUUAAAAUCAUUUCUGGUACUGCACAGGUAAUCAUUUCUUUUUUCUUUUUAAUUUCUCUUUUGUAUUUGGUAUUUAUAUUAGAGUUCAAUUAAAUUUGAAUUUACGCAUUGUAGGGUCUAUUUCUAAAAAGCACGUUUUCAAUAGGAUUUUUUUCAAUUCUCCAUACAUUGUUGCACUUUCACUUGACACCUAUCAUAAUGAUAAAUGACUCGCGACCUUCUCUUGAAUUCUAAAAGAACUUCUGUCGCUCCUUCCCCUCAAUUGCUAGACAAAGAACUCGACAACGGCUCAAACCCGGGACCUCUAGUGUUGAUGGGCAAUAAUAUCCAAUUUAAAAACAAGCACACCAAGUUGAUAAAGGUCUUCUUUUUUCUCAAGUGGAUAACACUAGGACAACACUUUAAUAUUUUUGUUAUUUUUUCAUAAUGAUUCUGAUAGUAUUGCAAAAAAUAAUCAUGUGAUCAUUAAAAAUAACACACCACUUUUGAAAUUUGGAAUUGGACAGCUAAUUGACACACACGUUAUUUGUACUUAAUGAAGAUUUAACUUUAAUUAUUAAAUUUAAGACGCCCCAAUGAGAAGAUGUGAGCGGUUGACACUGGAGGGUUUGAGAGGAGGUAGAGAUAGACCGCAAAAGUAUCGGGGGAGAGGUGAUCAUACAUGACAUAGCAAGCCUUUAACUUUUCGAGGACGUGGAGGACGAGAAUUGGGUAGAAGACUAGUAGCAAGCCUUUAGCUAACCAAGGACGUGGAGGACGAGAAUUGGGUAGAAGGCUAGUAGUUUAUAGUUUCGCGUUGUCUUUCCUGGUAGUAGUAGUUGUAUUAUUUACGGUAUGUGUUAAGAGUCUAUUAAAAAUGACCCCUUUACUUGUCAAGGAAGGAAUAAGGUUUGCAUACACUCUACGCAGUGCAUACCCCACUUGUGGGACUAUACCGAGUAUAUUGAUGUCUCAAUCACUAAAUUUAUUUAAUUUGAGUUCAAAUUUUAAUGGCAUAAUACAUAAACAAGACCUUUAACUUACACCAAAUUAUAACUAUACCCUUUAACUUUGCCAGUGCACAAGUAGCCCCUUUAACUAUAUAAAAACUAAAUAAAAAAACACUUCAAUUCUGCAACUUACAUGCGUGAAACUCAAUCGCUCCUACGUGGAUUAGUAAUCCACUUAAAUGUUGCCACCUAAUAAAAAAGACACAUUAUAACUAUGACCUUUAACUUUGCCAGUGCACAAGUAGGCCCUUUAACUAUACAAAAGCUGAACAAAAAAAUACUUCAAUUCUAACUCUGACGCGCGUGGUUUUAAAUGUAUACACGCAUUUUGCCAGGUAGGAUUGGAGUGUUAAAAGGCCUACUUGUGCACUGGUCAAAGUUAUAAUUUGGAGGUAGGAUUGGAGUGUUAAAAGGCCUAUAAAAGGCCUACUUGUGCACUGGUAAGGUUUUGAGUGUAUAUAAAAUUAAAGGUCAAAGUUAUAAUUUGGUGUCAAGUUAAAGGUCGUGUUUAUGUAUUUACACUUAAUAAAGUCCAUAUAAGCAAACCAUCGGUCCAUUCCUCCAACUAAUGUGGUACUUUCAUCCACCCUAGCACAAAUAAAGAUUAGGAAACAGAUAUGAAGAUAGCAAAACAGAUCAAGCUUUUCCCCUAUUUAUAUAAACAGAAAACUUUCAUCAAGUUGUGAGCACAAACAUGAAAAGGAUUUCUUUAGUUUUGUUGUUUUCUGUGUUGUUGAUUUCUUUUCCAAGUGAAUCCAAGGCAACUUCUCAAGAAGAAGGCCAUGGAGUUUACAUUGUUUACAUGGGUUCCAAAGGUUCAUCUGAAGAGCACCUUCAGCUUAUGAGCUCCAUCACAACAAGGUAUGAUGUCAUCGUUUGUCUGGGUAUUUUUCAGGCGCUAUAGCAAGAUAUUAUUAUAGAUAACAUAUAAUAUAACAUAAUGAAAAUUGAUUCCAAAGAAAACUUAGCCUAUACAGUUAGAUGUUGUUAUAGAGAGGUUUAAAACCCAUACCUGCAAUGGAGUCCGAGCAGUAACUCCCUCUAACUGAAGAGCAAUUUACAUUUCACGUUUCAUUAGGAGAAAGAAUGCAGUGGUGCACAGCUACAAGAAUAGUUUCUCAGGAUUGGCAGCACGUUUAUCAGAUGCCGAAGCUCAGUCGAU
rnacentral:lncRNA from 1 species